rnacentral:rRNA from 1 species
CCCUUAGAUGUUCUGGGCUGCACGUGCGCUACAAUGCGGGGUGCAUCGAGUAUACAACCUUGACUGAGAGGUCUGGGUAAUCUUUUGAACGCCCCGCGUGCUGGGGAUAGAUGAUUGUAAUUAUUCAUCUUCAACGAGGAAUUCCUAGUAAACGCAAGUCAUCAACUUGCAUUGAUUACGUCCCUGCCCUUUGUACACACCGCCCGUCGCUACUACUGAUUGGAUGUUUAAGCGAGGUUCUCGAACUGCUAGCGACUUAGCUUCGGUGAGGUCGCAGUGUGGGAAGUGAACCUAGCUUUGGUGUCUAGAGGAAGUAAAAGUCGUAACA